rnacentral:rRNA from 1 species
GACGAACGCUGGCGGCGUGCUUAACACAUGCAAGUCGAACGGAAAGGCCCUGCUUUUGUGGGGUGCUCGAGUGGCGAACGGGUGAGUAACACGUGAGUAACCUGCCCUUGACUUUGGGAUAACUUCAGGAAACUGGGGCUAAUACCGGAUAGGAGCUCCUGCUGCAUGGUGGGGGUUGGAAAGUUUCGGCGGUUGGGGAUGGACUCGCGGCUUAUCAGCUUGUUGGUGGGGUAGUGGCUUACCAAGGCUUUGACGGGUAGCCGGCCUGAGAGGGUGACCGGCCACAUUGGGACUGAGAUACGGCCCAGACUCCUACGGGAGGCAGCAGUGGGGAAUAUUGCACAAUGGGCGGAAGCCUGAUGCAGCAACGCCGCGUGCGGGAUGACGGCCUUCGGGUUGUAAACCGCUUUCGCCUGUGGCGAAGCGUGAGUGACGGUAAUGGGUAAAGGAGCACCGGCUAACUACGUG